CAUAGAAGAAGCAGAAGCCUGGAACUGAGCUACACGCAGCAGCCUCCUUUCUCCGGUAGCAGUCAAGAGUGAACAACGACGAAUUAAUCGGUUAAAGACCUCCGAAGUAGCAGGCGGCCACGAGCAACCAUUCCCUCUGUGAUGACCCUCCUUCCCUGAACGAACUCCUCCUCGUCAAAGUGGAAGCUCGGUUUGAAGGCGUAGCGGAUGUCCACUCUGAUAUUCCUCAGCUUGAUGGAUGUGAUGGCUUGACG